UAAUACAUAGGUCCCAAGCGUUAUCCGGAAUUACUGGGCGUAAAGCGUCUGCAGGUGGAAAAGUAUGUCAGAUAUGAAAGACCGGGGCUCAACCCCGUGUUUGUGUUUGAAACUGCUUUUCUCGAGUGAGCAAGAGGUAUGCGGAAUUUAUGGAGUAGGAGUGCAAUCCGUUGACACCAUAAAGAACACCAAAAGCGAAGGCAGCAUACUGGGGCUCUACUGACACUCAGAGACGAAAGCGUGGGGAGCGAAAGGG
rnacentral:rRNA from 1 species